rnacentral:rRNA from 1 species
GACGAACGCUGGCGGCGUGCCUAAUACAUGCAAGUAGAACGCUGAAGGAGGAGCUUGCUUCUCCGGAUGAGUUGCGAACGGGUGAGUAACGCGUAGGUAACCUGCCUGGUAGCGGGGGAUAACUAUUGGAAACGAUAGCUAAUACCGCAUAAGAGUAGAUGUUGCAUGACAUUUGCUUAAAAGGUGCAAUUGCAUCACUACCAGAUGGACCUGCGUUGUAUUAGCUAGUUGGUGAGGUAACGGCUCACCAAGGCGACGAUACAUAGCCGACCUGAGAGGGUGAUCGGCCACACUGGGACUGAGACACGGCCCAGACUCCUACGGGAGGCAGCAGUAGGGAAUCUUCGGCAAUGGACGGAAGUCUGACCGAGCAACGCCGCGUGAGCGAAGAAGGUUUUCGGAUCGUAAAGCUCUGUUGUAAGAGAAGAACGAGUGUGAGAGUGGAAAGUUCACACUGUGACGGUAUCUUACCAGAAAGGGACGGCUAACUACGUG